AGAAAAAACCACAUCAACAACAAAAAUAGCAACAGCAAGACUUUCAUGACCCUUCCUUCUUUUUUCUAUUUUUUUGUUUUUUCCCUUCUUUUCCCUUCCCCCUUUGCUUGGAUUCAUAA
rnacentral:ribozyme from 1 species